GGACGAACGCUGGCGGCAUGCCUAACACAUGCAAGUCGAACGGGGGUAGCAAUACCCUAGUGGCGAACGGGUGAGUAACACAUAAGCAAUCUGCCCUUCACAGGGGGAUAACAGCGGGAAACUGCUGCUAAUACCGCAUAAGACCACGGUACCGCAUGGUACAGGGGUAAAAACGAAUCAGUGGUGAAGGAUGAGCUUAUGUCCCAUUAGCUAGUUGGUGAGAUAACAGCCCACCAAGGCGACGAUGGGUAGCCGACCUGAGAGGGUGAUCGGCCACACUGGAACUGAGACACGGUCCAGACUCCUACGGGAGGCAGCAGUGGGGAAUAUUGGGCAAUGGAAGGAAACUCUUACCCAGCAAUGCCGCGUGAGUGAAGAAGGUCUUCGGAUUGUAAAGCUCUUUGAUUGGGGACGAAGAAAGUGACGGUACCCAAAGAACAAGCCCCGGCUAACUACGUGCCAGCCGCGGC
rnacentral:rRNA from 1 species